rnacentral:rRNA from 1 species
GACGAACGCUGGCGGCGUGCCUAAUACAUGCAAGUAGAACGCUGAAGGAGGAGCUUGCUCUUCUGGAUGAGUUGCGAACGGGUGAGUAACGCGUAGGUAACCUGCCUGGUAGCGGGGGAUAACUAUUGGAAACGAUAGCUAAUACCGCAUAAGAGUAGAUGUUGCAUGACAUUUGCUUAAAAGGUGCAAUUGCAUCACUACCAGAUGGACCUGCGUUGUAUUAGCUAGUUGGUGGGGUAACGGCUCACCAAGGCGACGAUACAUAGCCGACCUGAGAGGGUGAUCGGCCACGCUGGGACUGAGACACGGCCCAGACUCCUACGGGAGGCAGCAGUAGGGAAUCUUCGGCAAUGGACGGAAGUCUGACCGAGCAACGCCGCGUGAGUGAAGAAGGUUUUCGGAUCGUAAAGCUCUGUUGUAAGAGAAGAACGAGUGUGAGAGUGGAAAGUUCACACUGUGACGGUAUCUUACCAGAAAGGGACGGCUAACUACGUG